rnacentral:rRNA from 1 species
GACGAACGCUGGCGGCGUGCUUAACACAUGCAAGUCGAGCGGAGCGGCGAACGGGUGAGUAACGCGUGAGUAACUGCCCCCCUCUCUGGGAUAACCGUUGGAAUCGGCUGCUAAUACAGGACAGUGGGGGAUGACUCGCGUCCUAUCAGCUUGUUGGUGGGGGAGUGGUGUACCAGGGCGGCGACGGGUAGCCGGCCUGAGAGGGGGACCGGCCACAUUGGGCUGAGAUACGGCCCAAACUCCUACGGGAGGCAGCAGUGGAGAAUAUUGCACAAUGGGGGAAACCCUGAUGCAGCAACGCGCGUGCGGGAUGACGGCCUUCGGGUUGUAAAGUACUUUCAGCGAGGGGGGUUAAUAACCGCAGCGAUUGACGUUACUCGCAGAAGAAGCAUCGGCUAACUCCGUGCCAGCAGCCGCGGUAAUUC